rnacentral:rRNA from 1 species
AUACGUAGGGAGCAAGCGUUAUCCGGAUUUACUGGGCGUAAAGGGUGCGUAGGCGGCUUAUCAAGUCAGGCGUGAAAUAUAUGGGCUUAACCCAUAGACUGCGUUUGAAACUGAUGAGCUUGAGUGAAGUAGAGGUAGGCGGAAUUCCCGGUGUAGCGGUGAAAUGCGUAGAGAUCGGGAGGAACACCAGUGGCGAAGGCGGCCUACUGGGCUUUAACUGACGCUGAGGCACGAAAGCAUGGGUAGC